rnacentral:rRNA from 1 species
AGUGAACGCUGGCGGUAGGCCUAACACAUGCAAGUCGAACGGCAGCACAGUAAGAGCUUGCUCUUACGGGUGGCGAGUGGCGGACGGGUGAGGAAUACAUCGGAAUCUACUUUUUCGUGGGGGAUAACGUAGGGAAACUUACGCUAAUACCGCAUACGACCUACGGGUGAAAGCAGGGGAUCUUCGGACCUUGCGCGAUUGAAUGAGCCGAUGUCGGAUUAGCUAGUUGGCGGGGUAAAGGCCCACCAAGGCGAGGAUCCGUAGCUGGUCUGAGAGGAGGAUCAGCCACACUGGAGCGGAGCCACGGUCAAGGGGACUGAGGGAGGGAGCAGUGGGGAAUAGUGGACAAUGGGCGGAAGCAUGAUCCAGCGAUACCGCGUGGGUGAAGAAGGCCUUCGGGUUGUAAAGACCUUUUGUUGGGAAAGAAAAGCAGCAGGUUAAUACCCCGCUGUUCUGACGGUACCCAAAGAAUAAGCACCGGCUAACUUCGUG